UACCAGCACCCCGAGUGGUCGGGACGAUUAUUGGGCCUAAAGCAUCCGUAGCCGGUUCUACAAGUCUUCCGUUAAAUCCACCUGCUCAACAGAUGGGCUGCGGAGGAUACUAUAGAGCUAGGAGGCGGGAGAGGCAAGCGGUACUUAGUGGGUAGGGGUAAAAUCCGUUGAUCCAUUGAAGACCACCAGUGGCGAAGGCGGCUUGCCAGAACGCACUC
rnacentral:rRNA from 1 species